UGUGAGUGGUGUUUGGGUUGUGUGUGUUGGCAGGCUCCGUGCUAUGAUGCAUCGAACUGUCGACCCAUACUCCUCUUCAGUUUCUCCCCCUGCGGUCGUUCUGUCCUAGGGGUGUAAUCGGGAUCCUGUGUUGCGUACCUAAAUCGAUGGAAUUUGGAUGUCUAGCCAUCCCUCGUCCGUCUCGUGCCCUUAAGGGCGACGUGGCGGACCUCAGUCAUGCCCUGUGUUCCAAGCGUGCCCGCAGAUUUGCUGUGGCAGUGUUGGUGCUCUGGUGCUUGAUCGUGCUUUCGGAUGCGGAAAGUUUCGUGGGCGUGGGGUCUCGGCCUUCUUCGUCCGAUGCUAUGCAUUUUGUCCCUUGACAUGCACGACACCUGUGCCCUGUCUUGGCCUCUCCGCUGCCCAGGCGGUGUGUUGAGUCCCAUGCAGUGCCGAUGUCGCG
rnacentral:misc_RNA from 1 species